rnacentral:rRNA from 1 species
GACGAACGCUGGCGGCGUGCUUAACACAUGCAAGUCGAACGGAAAGGCCCUGCUUGCAGGGUACUCGAGUGGCGAACGGGUGAGUAACACGUGGGUGAUCUGCCCUGCACUUCGGGAUAAGCCUGGGAAACUGGGUCUAAUACCGGAUAGGAGCCAUUUUUAGUGUGAUGGUUGGAAAGUUUUUUCGGUGUAGGAUGAGCUCGCGGCCUAUCAGCUUGUUGGUGGGGUAAUGGCCUACCAAGGCGGCGACGGGUAGCCGGCCUGAGAGGGUGGACGGCCACAUUGGGACUGAGAUACGGCCCAGACUCCUACGGGAGGCAGCAGUGGGGAAUAUUGCACAAUGGGCGCAAGCCUGAUGCAGCGACACCGCGUGGGGGAUGACGGCCUUCGGGUUGUAAACUCCUUUCGCUAGGGACGAAGCUUUUUGUGACGGUACCUAGAUAAGAAGCACCGGCUAACUACGUG